ACAUGCCUACAACAUAGCAUUAUGCACCAGAUCGCACUAGAAUUAUGCAGUUAAGCACGCUCAAGCUAGAUUAUAACUGGGAUGGGUGACCGCUCAGGAAGACCUAGUGUUUUACAUGCC
rnacentral:rRNA from 1 species